rnacentral:rRNA from 1 species
UACGAAGGGUGCAAGCGUUACUCGGAAUUAUUGGGCGUAAAGCGUCCGCAGGUGGCUAUUCAAGUCUGCGGUCAAAGACUGGGGCUUAACCCUGGAAAGGCCGUGGAAACGGAAGAGCUAGAGUGCAGUAGGGGUAGAGGGAAUUCCCGGUGUAGCGGUGAAAUGCGUAGAGCUCGGGAAGAACAUCGGUGGCGAAAGCGCUCUGCUGGACUGCAACUGACACUCAGGGACGAAAGCUAGGGGAGCGAAUGGG